CCUACGGGAGGCAGCAGUGAGGAAUAUUGGUCAAUGGCCGUAAGGCUGAACCAGCCAAGUAGCGUGAAGGAAGACUGCCCUAUGGGUUGUAAACCUCUUUUAUGCGGGGAUAAAGGUGUCCACGUGUGGAUGUUUGCAGGUACCGCAUGAAUAAGGACCGGCUAAUUCCGUGCCAGCAGCCGCUGUAAUACGGAAGGUCCGGGCGUUAUCCGGAUUUAUUGGGUUUAAAGGGUGCGUAGGCCGUUCUUUAAGCGUGCGGUGAAAUUUUGUGGCUCAACUAUGGGAGUGCGGCGCAAACUGGAGAGCUUGAGUGCGGGGAAGGCAGGCGGAAUGCGUGGUGUAGCGGUGAAAUGCUUAGAGAUCACGAAGAACACCGAUUGCGAAGGCAGCCUGCCGCAGCGUUACUGACGCUGAAGCUCGAAAGCGUGGGGAUCGAACAGGAUUAGAUACCCUAGUAGUC
rnacentral:rRNA from 1 species